UGCCGCGGGAUCUGGUGGUUGAUGUUGUGUAUGCCCGAGGACAACACAGUUAUCCGUCUUCCCGCCAUCGUGCUUGCAUCAACAAAGCUGAGUGAGCAUACAAGCAAGACAAGAUCGGUAAAUACCCUCCAACAACUAAUGCAGAAGCUUACAUGCCUUGGAUUUGGAAACGACAGGUUAUCAGAUCUGGAUAUCAUAGAGGGUUAUUGUUCGAUCCAUGGAUACAGUCAACAUCCAUGAUUGGAAGAGAAUGGUAAGGUUUCGACUUUAAUUACAGAAAUCUCAUUUGCCUUUCUCUGGUAAGUUUGUUGGUGAUGGACACCAUUCUUUGUUCUACUUAUGUUGGCUAUAGCUUGCAGCACAUUUGUUUUGCAGUAUGUCAAUGUGUGUUCUAUUGCAAUUGUUCCUUUACAGUUUGUGAGACGCGCUGUAGUAUAUCAGGUAGUAUCCUCCUCGUAAAAAGAAACAUGUAGCUAUUCGAUCUAUGAAAGAAAGCACAUUACAAGCUCCCCAUUUUUUUUGAAAAGUUGCUUAGUGGAAAGAGUUCAGGAAAUUGGUUAAUCAUAGUCUCUUGGCUGAACCGAUCAAGAGGAUAUAUUUGUUAAAACAAUGCCCACGUUGAUAUAGGACCUGGGUUGCUAAUUCAGUAUACUAUAGCAUAGACGAAUCAUCUUCCAUUAAUCGAUACAAUGAUAGAAUUAGUAGAGUUGUGCAGUUCAGCUUAUUACUUCUAUUGCUGAGUGAUGUUAAAUUGAUACAAAGAUGUCUAUAAUGGUAGAGUUCAUAUAAUGUUUCAUCAGGUAUGCACGAUCCUUUUACAUUCAGUAAUCUACUUUGAUUUGGUGUAUGACCUGUCUUGGAGGAUGGUGGCAUUGUUGCCAGGCGACAGAGUGGUCGAAUGUGUAUGUAGGCGCCUGUAUUUGUUUCUACAAAUAAAAAUGACCAUAUUGAAAUGGAGUAUGCAAGCAUAUAUAGUACAAUAAAUACUGCACAAAACUAUUUAUCUC